GGUCGGAAGUUCAAGUCUUCCCAGGCCCACCACACUCAUCGAGUGAGCAUUCGUCUUCUGGUUACGGGGCCAUAGCUCAGCUGGGAGAGCGCGUGCUUUGCAAGCAUGAGGUCGUCGGUUCGAUCCCGUCUGGCUCCACCAGAUGGUUUGAUCACCGAUUACUCAUACCGUCGUCCGCGAAACAUCACUUCGCACUUACUAGUCCGGAUGGACAGUAAGCUGCGUGAUUUCUGACAUCGUAAAGAGGAGAUCGAUCCGAGUUGGAUCGGGCAACAAGCAAUUGUUGCGCGAUACUUCAUUAUCUCCGGAUCAUUUCGGCGCUCGUGCGUCUUCCAGGGUAGCUCACAAGGCUGCAUUGAAAGACAAGCGAGUUGUAAAUGAUCCUUUUAGCGAAGCUUGACCGCCUCGCUAUCGGAACGAUCUUACGAAGCAAGCUGGUCUUUCUAAUCAUUGUCCGGCUGCAGAUAGCGUUCAUCGAGGGCGCGUACCGCAAGGUAGUUCUGCAGACAACAUUCUGCCGAGUGUGUGGACAUUGAUAAUGAGAGC
rnacentral:tRNA from 5 species